UACAGAGGUCCCAAGCGUUGUUCGGAUUCAUUGGGAGUAAAGGGUGUGUAGGUGGCGCCGUAAGUCGGGUGUGAAAUUUCGGAGCUUAACUCCGAAACUGCAUUCGAUACUGCGGUGCUUGAGGACUGGAGAGGAGACUGGAAUUCAUGGUGUAGCAGUGAAAUGCGUAGAGAUCAUGAGGAAGACCAGUGGCGAAGGCGGGUCUCUGGACAGUUCCUGACACUGAGACACGAAGGCCAGGGGAGCAAACGGG
rnacentral:rRNA from 1 species